UAAAUCAAUUUUUCAUUUUGGCUCGGUGGGAAAUUUGCCCGCCCUUCCCCUCCUUCCCUUCUAGUCAAAACAACAUUUUGCCCUCCCCCUCUACGGCGGCUUACGAGUUUCUUCCGUGUUUCUUCUCUCUCCGACCAACGGAUGAUCCCGCUCUCGCUGCCUCUCAGGUGCUGCCGAUCUGCUGGUGUGCCCUGGUGUAAGUGUUCUGAAGGUUGCCGUUGCCGUUCUGCAGAGAAGAAGUGGCAAGAAACGACAGGCCAAACGUAUCGCAGUCGGAUAGCCUCUCUCUGAAAGCACAGGUAGAGGUUGAGACAAAAAACCAAGUGAGAGAAUAUCUUCUGAGCUAACAGGACCCUCUCCUGCUGUAUCAGCUUGUUGAUUGUCCUGCUGCAGUAAGGCUUGAUUUCUCCCACUUUUAUUGGCCUAGGUUGUACCAUAACAAUGUCGGAUAAAUAUGAGAUGUAAUAGUGGGGAGAGAUGGUUAUUAGUUGCAAUAUCCUUUGAUGUUGAAUGUUGUUAUUCUUUGUGGUUCUUCCUGAUGUUUUCAUUUCAUCAACUUUAGUUGUUUUUAGGUUGGAAUAUUUGAUGCUACAAACAGUACCAAGAAAAGAAGGAAUAUGCUGAUGAAAAUGGCAGAAGGAAAAUGCAAGUUUGAAGGCUGGUAAUGGCGGAAGCAAUCAUCUAUGCAAUUGCAGAGGGGAUCGUUGGGCAAUUGGGUAAUGCUGCAGCGAAAGAGAUUGCCUUAUUUUGUGGUGUUGAAGACGAGCUUCAACAACUUGAAGAAACCAUUUCAACAAUCAAAAGUGUGCUUGUUGAUUCAAAAAAUACUACGCCAAAAUAGUAACACUAUCAACACUAAUUAUAAAACGCGAUACAAAAAUGUAUCUGCCAAAAGAAAGCCACAAUGUUGAACAUAAAGUGUCAACUAUAAUGCUAAAAUUAGACAAUGCUUUCAAAAUAUAUGCAUCGUUUAAUAACAACAAUAUGCAACGUUUUUUUUUC